AGCAUUGUGAAAGUUGUGGCAUAAAGUCCAUUAAGAGAUACAGAAAUUUGUAUUGUUCCACAAUAUGAAGUAUUACUUGAAAAGUACUUAUUUCAGGAAGGUUAAAAGGAAUAAGGGGUAAUAAUAAAAUUGGUAGUUUCUCAUCCUUAAAAGCCUUCAUGAACAAUAAUUUUCUUCAGUAUUUUACACAGGGCAAUUUUGUUCUUUUUCUUUUUUAAUACAAGAGAACCUAAACCUUUUCCAUUCCACAAUAGAUAAAAAUGGAGAUUCAAAGUAACUGACAUAAUUGGCUCCUUGGGGCAAAUCCAUACAGUGAAUUCAAAAGAAUGUGCUUACCUACAAUUACAAAUAGGUUUGCUGUUCAUAAGUGCAUAAAGAAAAAAUUCCAAGAAAUGUAUAAAGGCUAUUAUGAUCUAUUUCUACAAUGUCUCUAUUAAAGUGCUAACAUUCACUAACAUUCAUGGUUAUACCGAUUAAAAAUAUUUAAAAAUUACCUUUUUGACACCCCACCCCCGGCAAAGUACUAUAAAAUCAUAACCAAAAAAAAAAAAAGCAAAAUUACAGAAUCUUAUUUCGAACAAGAUAAGACAAUGCUGUCUAAAAUCAUUGAAAACGAUGGAUUUAUCAGGUCCUAGUCAAAAGAUUAACACAAAUGAAGUGUACUCUCAAUACUUUGGGAAAAUGUGAGGUUGGGAAAGAUUACAUUCAGUAUUAAUAUACAUAUAUUGAACCCUGGUGUUUUUUGUUUUUAAAAUCUGAAUGUAUCUUUUAAGGCAGAGGUCUCCAAACUUGGCAACUUUAAGACUUACGGACUUCAACUCUCAGAAUUGUCCAGCAACAAGUCUUAAAAUUGCCAAGUUUGGGGACACCUGCUUUAAGGUUUAGUGUAAUAAAAUGUGAUUAGCUGCUCACGACCUGAUUAAAAUUUUGAAACAAAUGGAAAAACAACCUUUUCAUUAUAAGAAUUUGAGUUUUUUAAGUUAAAUUGUUUCAGGAAAACAUGAGUUUGGCUUACUAAAUAAUAAUUAUGUGAAGUAUCAUUCUCUAUUCAUUCUUUACAAUUUAUUAUACUGUUUUCUUUGUGAAUAAUAGUUAGAGCAUAAUUUGUUUUAAAGAUACAAGUAUUAGCUAUAUAGUAGAAUCACUCACUUGAAGCCCUUUGUCUGAUAGAAAAGCUCUAGUUAAAAUUAUUUGUCUCAUUGAAACAUACCAACAAAAGGAAAAAUGUAAAAAUCACCUAAACUUUUUCUUUAAAAUUGUAAAGUGAUUUUUUUCAGCCAUUUUAAAGUGAACAUUUAAUACAUUUUUAAUGUUGACUAUUAGUGGGAACUAUUUAGAUAUAUAAUUGGAUAUAAUUAUAAAGAAGCCACAUUUCCAACUCCAAAUUAGUAGUCUUAAAGAUAGACAGUUAACAGGGUAUCAUCCAGGUAUUUUCACUUAAAGCAAUAGGAACUCCAAUAAAAACAACUAAUGGGAAAGAACCAAGAAAAGCAGUGUUGAGUUUACUUAUAACUUACGAUCUCAUUCAAUAUUUGACAAUUAUUUAUAAGCACGAGUCUACUUUAAAAAAAAAAUCAAAAUAAUUAUCCCAUUGAUAUAGCUGGGCCAAAAUCUUGUAAUGUGUUUUAGCAGGUAUGUUUCUACUAAGCAUCUGUUUUGAUAGUCCCCAAAGACCUUUGAAUAAUGUUUCUUCUAUUGAAAUAUUGUUAGGCCUACUCUUAAAAGAUCAAUUUGAGG